UACGUAGGGCGCAAGCGUUAUCCGGAAUUAUUGGGCGUAAAGAGCUCGUAGGCGGUUUGUCGCGUCUGCCGUGAAAGUCCGGGGCUCAACUCCGGAUCUGCGGUGGGUACGGGCAGACUAGAGUGAUGUAGGGGAGACUGGAAUUCCUGGUGUAGCGGUGAAAUGCGCAGAUAUCAGGAGGAACACCGGUGGCGAAGGCGGGUCCCUGGGCAGUAACUGACGCUGAGGAGCGAAAGCGUGGGGAGCGAACAGG
rnacentral:rRNA from 1 species